GCUUUUUAAUUAUUUGCCCAUAUGAAGGGCAUUUCAGUACACUCACGCCUAUAUAAGCAGCGCCUGUCCCAGUGCCAAUAGAACACACCAAAUCAAUACCAAACCAGAAUUCGCAGCAGCUGCUCCAAUAAUCUCUGCUCUUCGCCGACGUUUUUAUCUCCGAAAAGAUUCAGGGAGAGAGAAGAAUAUCAAAUCAGAUGGCAGCAGGUGCUAGGAGUGGUAUGAUCAACGGUGGGAGCUUCUCUGGGAGGCUUUCUGGCCGUCCGAUUCCAAAGAGGGGUCAGGUGAAGCUGGGCAUAGUGGUGGGAUUGGCUCACUCUGUUGCUUCCAUCUUCUCUCUCCGUAGAAGAUGUGCUGCUUCUCAAUUCUCUCACUAGAAACCCAGAACCCAAUUUUGAUGUGGAUUAGAGAAACCCAGAGAGAGAGAGAGUGAGAGAGAGAGAGAGAGAGUGAGUUUUGUAGGGUCUGCUUAAUAUGAGUUUAGAUAUA